AUAACUCGUGUAUUUACUUAUGUACAACGUCGUGAAUUGCUUUAAAUUAUUCUAAAUAAAUAUAUUUGUUAAUUAUCGUUGUAAAUUAUAUAAAAGUAUCAAGUUAGGUAGUUAAAAUACACAUUAUUGUUCGUGGAGUAGUAAAACAGACACAAUGUUGUUAUUUUUAGUAAUAUAUUUAUUUGCACCUUAUCAGAACGGUGCCGUUGCAGACUACAAAAGUUAUAAAAACUACAAAAUUUAUGAAAUUAAUGGAAAUAUUGACAACAUACAAAAACUUAUUACAAAUUUGACUGCAAUUGCUGAAAUCCCGUACUAUGAAAAGGGGCGGUCGCGCGCAGAAGUGUUGAUUGCGCCGGAUUUGGUCGAAACAUUCUCUACCGCAUUAGAACAUUAUGAUUUGCAUAAAGAAAUUAUUAUCGAAGACUUCUCAAAAAUCAUUGAACACGAAAAACAAGUCUACCGGCGGUCGGGAUUACCUUUUUCCUGGAAAGCUUAUUACGAUGUGGAUGAUAUUUACAGCUUCUUAAGGAACAUGAGUAACGACUACCCUCAGUGGACCAAUGUGGUGGUAGGAGGACAGAGCUAUGAGAGUCGAGAGAUCCUGGGGUUGCGUAUAAAUACUCCUACAAGGACAAAUAAAAAGAUAGUAUUCAUUGAAUCAGGUAUCCACGCCCGGGAGUGGAUCACUCCGGCCACGACGACCUUCUUCAUCAACCAACUGCUCACCAGCUCAGACCCGGCCAUCACAGCACUCAGAGACAAGUUUGAGUGGCAUAUCUUCCCCACUAUCAACCCUGAUGGCUAUCAUUAUAGUUUUAAUACGAAUAUGAUGUAUCUAGUGAUCCAUGUGACGAACAGGUUUACGGCGGUUCCAAGGCAUUUUCCGAGGUGUAAACCAAAACUUUAUCCGAAUACAUACGCAGUUUGAAGAACCUAACUGCUUACAUCACCUUCCAUUCAUAUGCUGGGAUGCUUUUAAUACCCAUAUCGGAUAGUGUCAAGCCUGUAAGCAAUUAUGACGACUUGGGCUCACACAUCCUGGACAGGUCUGCCACCAUCGAGAAACCGCUAAAUGGGGCCAACGGAACCCUCAAAUUUUAGUAGAAGGUAAAGUAGAAUUUUGAGCACCUCAUUAUCUCAAAGAUUCUUUUAAACUUUUCGUGAGGAGCGCGGAUUAAUUAAAUUUACUUUAAGAGCUUCUCAGAUGUUGGCGGAGUGAGUGAAAACACAAAAUGCGUCUGUAUUUUUCUCGUGGAAUUUCCAUUAUUGUGGGCGUUGUUUGCCGCAUAAUUUGAACAGCUUCUACUACGCAUCCAAUAUAGGUUGGGUGGCAACCCAACCUAAAAUGUCUUUAUGAACGGCCUAGGAAGAACGGCAGUUCUUCCUAGGCCGUUCAUACAAGACAUUUUAGUAACAAGUAUUUUUUUAAAUGCCAUUUUUGACAUUAUUUUUAUUAUCUUGUGACAUGUAACGCCUGACAUUGAGAAGUUGCCGGGUCUGGAGCCAUUCCUACGGUACACAGUACACAAUCAGGUCAUGCUUAUCAUAAUAAUGCAUUGUCAUGGAAACUGAAGCGACGUGGGAAGUUUCAACUUUGUAGGACAAGGGGAAAUUCAACUUGUAAGAUUUGAUUACAGACAAACAUCGGGACAGGUGAAAUUAAAUAAAAACUUAUAAAAAUGGCAAGGUUUUGUAUUCUUUAAGUACACAAAAUAUGAAAAAUAAACACAUGAAAUAUAUUCCUAAUGGCCGUUUUUGAAGUCUCACAUCAUCACACUCAAUAUAAGAAAACAGAUUCGAGGAACAAAUCGUACACAAGAAGCGCACUACACAUUUACUAUGACCUCUGUGGCGUAAUGGUCACCACGUCCGUCCGUCUGGAGAGUUUGGGUUCGAUUUCCUGUGAUCACAAAUAUUUGUCUGCAGUUAUUGGUGUAUUAUGCCCACGAUACAUGCUUAGAAGCUUAGUUUGGUUGUUGAGUGUUAUCCAUUUAUUUACAUAAGCUAAUCCCAGCGUCAUCCGAGUUCAUAUGUUCUGAACGACUUUUACAUCGAUCCAUAAGGAAGCUCCAUACUUACUUACAUCCUAACUGCAGACAUGUGCAACUCGGAAUGGGCAGUAUUAUCGUUAUCAGUAAUGGCCGCCAAUCAAGCACCUCGAAUUUGGUCCGAAACCGAUCGUCCAAGACGAGAGUAGCUAUUAGCUGGACCACACAAAAAAGUAAGUACGGAAGAAUGACUCGUCACUUCUUUCCUUUGUAUCUGAUUUGUUGAAGUUGGGUAGAUAAUAAGUAGCGAAUAUUAGCGAUAACCAACAUUUUACAAUGGUACGUCAAUUAUUUCGCAUAUGUACUCCUGUAUAAUCAUUUUGUUCACGGUGAAAUACGAUUAAAGAGAUAUAUUAUGAACAGGUAGAUUUGGCAACUCGUUUGGUAAAUAACUCAAAAUUAUUAGUGUAGUGUUGUUAAUAUUUUCCCUCAAUUACAGAAUUUUAAAGUCGUAUUAAACUUACGUUUUAGGUAGAUUUAUUUUUAUGUAAGGAACCCCAAUGUAACAAUUUAUAUUUAUUAGAAAUGCUUUCAAGUGGAUAAACUUGAAAGCAUUUCUAGUCCAUUUGUAUACUUCUAUCCCUAGUCCAUUUAUAUAUUUGCAAUUAUUUUUGAAAAAUUUUCUAAAUCAAAAAACUAAGUUAAGCGUUGGAAAAUUGAUCUAGUAAGAAAUCGGCUGAGUAAAGCGGCCUAAUUAC